rnacentral:rRNA from 1 species
AACGAACGCUGGCGGCAGGCUUAACACAUGCAAGUCGAACGCAUCCUUCGGGGUGAGUGGCAGACGGGUGAGUAACGCGUGGGAACGUGCCCUUCAGUUCGGGAUAACCCAGGGAAACUUGGGCUAAUACCGGAUACGUGCGAGAGCAGAAAGAUUUAUCGCUGAAGGAUCGGCCCGCGUCUGAUUAGCUAGUUGGUGGGGUAAUGGCCCACCAAGGCGACGAUCAGUAGCUGGUCUGAGAGGAUGAUCAGCCACACUGGGACUGAGACACGGCCCAGACUCCUACGGGAGGCAGCAGUGGGGAAUAUUGGACAAUGGGCGCAAGCCUGAUCCAGCCAUGCCGCGUGAGUGAUGAAGGCCUUAGGGUUGUAAAGCCCUUUCAGUGGGGACGAUAAUGACGGUACCCGCAGAAGAAGCCCCGGCUAACUUCGUGCCAGCAGCCGCCGCUG